CAAAAGCUUGGUCCUGACUUUAUUAUUGACUCUAGCCAUAUUUACACAUGCAAGUAUCCGCACCCCCGUGAGAAUGCCCUAACAGCUCCCCGCCCGGGAGCAAGGAGCUGGUAUCAGGUUCAACCUCGGUUAGCCCAUAACACCUUGCUUUGCCACACCCCCAAGGGUAUUCAGCAGUGAUAAACCUUAAGCCAUGAGUGAAAACUUGACUUAGAAAAUGCUAAGAGGGCCGGUCAAACUCGUGCCAGCCACCGCGGUUAUACGAGGGGCCCAAGUCAAUAAUUAACGGCGUAAAGAGUGGUUAGAGAAACCCGUCAGUAAAGCCGAACCCCUUCCAAACUGUUAUACGCUGACCGAAGAUGAGAAGCUCAUUCACGAAAGUAGCUUUAUACUCUUGAAUCCACGAAAGCUAAGGCACAAACUGGGAUUAGAUACCCCACUAUGCUUAGCCCUAAACAUUGACAACACCAUACACCUGUUGUCCGCCCGGGUAUUACGAGCAUUAGCUUAAAACCCAAAGGACUUGGCGGUGCUUUAAACCCACCUAGAGGAGCCUGUUCUAGAACCGAUAAUCCCCGUUCAACCUCACCCCUCCUUGUCCCUUCCCGCCUAUAUACCGCCGUCGUCAGCUUACCCUGUGAAGGACACAUAGCAAGCAAAAUCGGCACCAAGCCCAAAACGCCAGGUCGAGGUGUAGCGUAUGGAGGGGGAAGACAAUGGGCUACAUUCUCUGGCACAGAGAAUACGAAUGACAUGUUGAAACUACAUGCCUGAAGGAGGAUUUAGCAGUAAGCUGAAAAUAGAGUGUUUAGCUGAAAUUGGCCCUGAAGCGCGUACAUACCGCCCGUCAUCCUCCCCAAAACUAACAAAUUUAACUUAAUUAAAACGCUGUUAUAGUAAAGGAGAGGCAAGUCGUAACAUGGUAAGUGUACCGGAAGGUGUACUUGGAACAACA
rnacentral:ncRNA from 1 species